UACGUAGGGUGCAAGCGUUGUCCGGAAUUAUUGGGCGUAAAGAGCUCGUAGGCGGUUUGUCGCGUCUGCUGUGAAAACUCGGGGCUUAACCCCGGGCCUGCAGUGGGUACGGGCAGACUAGAGUGCGAUAGGGGAGACUGGAAUUCUCGGUGUAGCGGUGAAAUGCGUAGAUAUCGAGAGGAACACCUGCGGCGAAGGCGGGUUGCUGGGCUGACACUGACGCUGAACUGCGAAAGCUAGGGGAGCGAACGGG
rnacentral:rRNA from 1 species